UAAUAGCUCACUGGUCGAGUCGGCCUGCGCGGAAGAUGUAACGGGGCUAAACCAUGCACCGAAGCUGCGGCAGCGACGCUUAUGCGUUGUUGGGUAGGGGAGCGUUCUGUAAGCCUGCGAAGGUGACCUGUGAGGGUUGCUGGAGGUAUCAGAAGUGCGAAUGCUGACAUAAGUAACGAUAAAGCGGGUGAAAAGCCCGCUCG
rnacentral:rRNA from 1 species